AGCCAGCCCCGGAGGUGGUGUUGUGUCCAACCAGCCCCGGAGGUGGUGUUGUGUCCAACCAGCCCCGGAGGUAGUGUUGUGUCCAACCAGCCCCUGAGGUGGUGUUGUGUCCAACCAGCCCCGGAGGUGGUGUUGUGUCCAACCAGCCCCUGAGGUAGUGUUGUGUCCAACCAGCCCCGGAGGUGGUGUUGUGUCCAACCAGCCCCGGAGGUAGUGUUGUGUCCAACCAGCCCCUGAGGUGGUGUUGUGUCCAACCAGCCCCGGAGGUGGUGUUGUGUCCAACCAGCCCCGGAGGUGGUGUUGUGUCCAACCAGCCCCGGAGGUGGUGUUGUGUCCAACCAGCCCCUGAGGUGGUGUUGUGUCCAACCAGCCCCUGAGGUGGUGUUGUGUCCAACCAGCCCCGGAGGUAGUGUUGUGUCCAACCAGCCCCGGAGGUGGUGUUGUGUCCAACCAGCCCCGGAGGUAGUGUUGUGUCCAACCAGCCCCGGAGGUGGUGUUGUGUCCAACCAGCCCCGGAGGUAGUGUUGUGUCCAACCAGCCCCGGAGGUGGUGUGGUGUCCAACCAGCCCCGGAGGUGGUGUUGUGUCCAACCAGCCCCUGAGGUGGUGUUGUAACCAGCCCCUGAGGUGGUGUUGUGUCCAACCAG